AUCAGCUUUCGACGGUAUGGUAUUGGCUUACCGUGGCAGUGACGGUUAACGGGGGAUUAGGGUUCGAUUCCGGAGAGGGAGCCUGAGAAACGGCUACCACAUCUAAGGAAGGCAGCAGGCGCGCAAAUUACCCAAUUCUAACAGCAUAAGAGAGGUAGUGACAAGAAAUAACAAUACAAGGCAUUUAAACUGCUUUGUAAUUGGAAUGAUAGAAAUUUAAACACUUUUUAAAGUAUCAAUUGGAGGGCAAGUCUGGUGCCAGCAGCCGCGGUAAUUCCAGCUCCAAUAGCGUAUAUUAAAAUUGUUGCAGUUAAAAAGCUCGUAGUUGAAUUUCUGCUAAAAAUAACCGGUCUGCUUUUAAUAAAAGUGGUAUCUUGGUGUGUUUUUAGCAAUAAUGUCCUUUGAAAUGUUUUUUUACUUUGUUGUAAAAAGCAAUAUUCAGGAUUUUUACUUUGAGAAAAUUAGAGUGUUUCAAGCAGGCUUACGUUUUGAAUACUGCAGCAUGGAAUAAUAAAAUAGGAUUUUAGUUCUACUUUAUUGGUUUUAAGAACUAAAUUAAUGAUUGAUAGGGACAGUUGGGGGCAUUUGUAUUUAACUGUCAGAGGUGAAA
rnacentral:rRNA from 1 species